rnacentral:rRNA from 1 species
GACGAACGCUGGCGGCGUGCUUAACACAUGCAAGUCGAGCGGUAAGGCCCUUUCGGGGGUACACGAGCGGCGAACGGGUGAGUAACACGUGGGUGACCUGCCCUCAGCUCUGGGAUAAGCCUGGGAAACCGGGUCUAAUACCGGAUAUGACUCCAUGACGCAUGUUGUGGGGUGGAAAGCCUUGUGCGGCUGAGGAUGGGCCCGCGGCCUAUCAGCUUGUUGGUGGGGUGAUGGCCUACCAAGGCGACGACGGGUAGCCGGCCUGAGAGGGCGACCGGCCACACUGGGACUGAGACACGGCCCAGACUCCUACGGGAGGCAGCAGUGGGGAAUCUUGCGCAAUGGGCGAAAGCCUGACGCAGCGACGCCGCGUGAAGGAUGAAAUCCCUCGGGAUGUAAACUUCGCAAGAACGGGAAGAAUAAGCGAGAGUUAAUAUCUCUCGUGAUGACGGUACCGUUUGUAAGCUCCGGCUAACUCCGUGCCAGCCGCCGCCGUAAG